rnacentral:rRNA from 2 species
UGGUAAUGCCGGAUGUUCCAGUUGAUCGCAUGGUCUUCUGGGAAAGCUUUCGCGGUAUGGGAUGGGGUCGCGUCCUAUCAGCUUGACGGCGGGGUAACGGCCCACCGUGGCUUCGACGGGUAGCCGGCCUGAGAGGGCGACCGGCCACAUUGGGACUGAGAUACGGCCCAGACUCCUACGGGAGGCAGCAGUGGGGAAUAUUGCACAAUGGGCGCAAGCCUGAUGCAGCGACGCCGCGUGAGGGAUGGAGGCCUUCGGGUUGUAAACCUCUUUUAUCGGGGAGCAAGCGAGAGUGAGUUUACCCGUUGAAUAAGCACCGGCUAACUACGUGCCAGCAGCCGCGGUAAUACGUAGGGUGCAAGCGUUAUCCGGAAUUAUUGGGCGUAAAGGGCUCGUAGGCGGUUCGUCGCGUCCGGUGUGAAAGUCCAUCGCUUAACGGUGGAUCCGCGCCGGGUACGGGCGGGCUUGAGUGCGGUAGGGGAGACUGGAAUUCCCGGUGUAACGGUGGAAUGUGUAGAUAU